rnacentral:rRNA from 2 species
GACUACGAUGGGUAGGGGUCCUGAGAGGGAGAUCCCCCACACUGGUACUGAGACACGGACCAGACUCCUACGGGAGGCAGCAGUGAGGAAUAUUGGACAAUGGGCGCAAGCCUGAUCCAGCCAUGCCGCGUGCAGGAUGACGGUCCUAUGGAUUGUAAACUGCUUUUAUACAGGAAGAAACACUGGUUCGUGAACCAGCUUGACGGUACUGUAAGAAUAAGGAUCGGCUAACUCCGUGCCAGCAGCCGCGGUAAUACGGAGGAUCCAAGCGUUAUCCGGAAUCAUUGGGUUUAAAGGGUCCGUAGGCGGUCAGAUAAGUCAGUGGUGAAAGCCCAUCGCUCAACGGUGGAACGGCCAUUGAUACUGUCUGACUUGAAUUAUUAGGAAGUAACUAGAAUAUGUAGUGUAGCGGUGAAAUGCUUAGAGAUUACAUGGAAUACCAAUUGCGAAGGCAGGUUACUACUAAUAUAUUGACGCUGAUGGACGAAAGCGUGGGUAGCGAACAGGAUUAGAUACCCUGGUAGUCCACGCCGUAAACGAUGGAUACUAGCUGUUGGGAGCAAUCUCAGUGGCUAAGCGAAAGUGAUAAGUAUCCCACCUGGGGAGUACGAACGCAAGUUUGAAACUCAAAGGAAUUGACGGGGGCCCGCACAAGCGGUGGAGCAUGUGGUUUAAUUCGAUGAUACGCGAGGAACCUUACCAAGGCUUAAAUGUAGAUUGACCGGUUUGGAAACAGACUUUUCGCAAGACAAUUUACAAGGUGCUGCAUGGUUGUCGUCAGCUCGUGCCGUGAGGUGUCAGGUUAAGUCCUAUAACGAGCGCAACCCCUGUUGUUAGUUGCCAGCGAGUCAUGUCGGGAACUCUAACAAGACUGCCAGUGUAAACUGUGAGGAAGGUGGGGAUGACGUCAAAUCAUCACGGCCCUUACGCCUUGGGCUAC